rnacentral:rRNA from 1 species
UGGGAAUUUUGGACAAUGGGCGCAAGCCUGAUCCAGCCAUGCCGCGUGCGGGAAGAAGGCCUUCGGGUUGUAAACCGCUUUUGUCAGGGAAGAAAUCUUCUGAGUUAAUACCUCGGGAGGAUGACGGUACCUGAAGAAUAAGCACCGGCUAACUACGUGCCAGCAGCCGCGGUAAUACGUAGGGUGCAAGCGUUAAUCGGAAUUACUGGGCGUAAAGCGUGCGCAGGCGGUUUUGUAAGACAGAGGUGAAAUCCCCGGGCUCAACCUGGGAACUGCCUUUGUGACUGCAAGGCUUGAGUGCGGCAGAGGGGGGAUGGAAUUCCGCGUGUAGCAGUGAAAAUGCGUAGAUAUGCGGAGGAAACACCGAUGGCGAAGGCAAUCCCCCUGGGCCUGCACUGACGCUCAUGCACGAAAAGCGUGGGGAGCAAAACAGGAUUAGAUACCCUGGUAGUCCACGCCCUAAAACGAUGUCAAACUGGUUGUU